GACGUAGGGGGCCAGCGUUGUUCGGAUUUACUGGGCGUAAAGGGCGCGUAGGCGGUCAGCACAAGUCAGUUGUGAAAUCUCCGGGCUUAACUCGGAAAGGUCAACUGAUACUGUGCGACUAGAGUGCAGAAGGGGCAACUGGAAUUCUCGGUGUAGCGGUGAAAUGCGUAGAUAUCGAGAGGAACACCUGCGGCGAAGGCGGGUUGCUGGGCUGACACUGACGCUGAUGCGCGAAAGCCAGGGGAGCGAACGGG
rnacentral:rRNA from 1 species